AACGUAGGGUGCGAGCGUUAAUAGGAUUUACUGGGCGUAAAGCGUGCGCAGGCGGCCCGUUAAGACAGGUGUGAAAUCCGUGGGCUCAACCUAGGAAUUGCGCUUGUGACUGGCGGGCUCGAGUACGGUAGAGGGGGGUGGAAUUCCUGGUGUAGCAGUGAAAUGCGUAGAGAUCAGGAGGAACACCGAUGGCGAAGGCAGCCCCCUGGGCCUGUACUGACGCUCAUGCACGAAAGCGUGGGGAGCAAACAGG
rnacentral:rRNA from 1 species